GGGCUCCUGUGUUUCCACCUAAGCCCGGCUCACCCAUGAGCCAGGCAUCUGCUGGCAGAUGAGAACAAGACGUGGUCUCAGGAAGUCUGCAGGCAGACCAGGAGCCCAGGCCUUCAAGGAUGAGACCUGAGGCCAUGCCGCAUUCCUGGCCUGGCCAUGUCUGUUCAUAGAAUUGCCUCCACGUUAGCCAGCCCCAUGCCUCCAGACUCUGUGUCUACACAGCUCACCUUGGCCAUCUUGGGGCCAGAGGGCAGAAGCAGCUUAUGUUGGGAAGGGGCAUCUGAGAAGGAGAUGGGGGCUCGCUGUGUCGCCCACGCUGGAGUGCAGUCGUGCAAUCAUGGCUUACUACAGCUUCAAACUCCUGGGCUCAAGCGACACUCACACCUCAGCCUCCCAAGUAGCUGGGAUUACAGGAGCAGGUCUGCUUGUCAAGAAUCCAAGCACGCCUGUGUUCUGUGGCCACAGGAGAGGAGGGGCCGCUUUUAAAUACAAGCCUACUCCUGUCGUUGGACCAGAACAAAGACCUACUGGCCAGAAGCACAUGAAAGACUAGAGCACAAUGGUACGAUCUUGGCUCACUGCAACUUCCACCUCCCGAGUUCAAGCAAUUCUCCUGACAGAAGUCCACUCAAGCCAGCCAUUGUAGCUAGCAUCGGGGCUCCAGCC
rnacentral:antisense_RNA from 1 species